rnacentral:misc_RNA from 1 species
UACGGAGGGGGUUAGCGUUGUUCGGAAUCAUUGGGCGUAAAGGGCGCGCAGGCGGCCUUCCAAGUCCGGUGUGAAAGCCCGAGGCUCAACCUCGGAAGCGCAUUGGAAACUGGAUGGCUUGAGUCCGAGAGGGGACCGUGGAAUUCCUGGUGUAGGGGUGAAAUCCGUAGAGAUCGGGAGGAACACCGGAGGUGAAAACGACGGUCUGGAUCGGAACUGACGCUGAGGCGCGAAAGCGCGGGUAGCGAACAGG